rnacentral:rRNA from 1 species
AACGAACGCUGGCGGCAGGCUUAACACAUGCAAGUCGAACGCCCCGCAAGGGGAGUGGCAGACGGGUGAGUAACGCGUGGGAAUCUACCCAUCCCUACGGAAUAACGCAUGGAAACGUGUGCUAAUACCGUAUACGCCCUACGGGGGAAAGAUUUAUCGGGGAUGGAUGAGCCCGCGUUGGAUUAGCUAGUUGGUGGGGUAAAGGCCUACCAAGGCGACGAUCCAUAGCUGGUCUGAGAGGAUGAUCAGCCACAUUGGGACUGAGACACGGCCCAAACUCCCUACGGAGGGCGGAGGUGGGAAUAUUGGAACAAGGGGGGAAGGCCGAAUCCGCCCAGGCGGGGGAAUGAAGAAGGGCCUAGGGUUGGAAAGCUCUUUCACCGGAGAAGAUAAUGACGGUAUCCGGAGAAGAAGCCCCGGCUAACUUCGUG